GGAGAGGUGGCAGAGUGGCCGAAUGCGCGGGCUUGCUAAGCUCGUGAGGCAGAGAUGCCUCCCAGGGUUCGAAUCCCUGCCUCUCCGCCA
rnacentral:tRNA from 2 species